CCAAUAGCGUAUAUUAAAGUUGUUGCAGUUAAAAAGCUCGUAGUUGAAUUUCGGGAUUAGUACGUUGGUCGUGCCUUAGGUACGUACUGGUGUUACUGGUUCCUACCUUCUGACGAACCAUCAUGUCAUUAAUUUGGUGUGGCGGGGAAUCAGGACUGUUACUUUGAAAAAAUUAGAGUGUUUAAAGCAGGCUCGCGCUUGAAUACAUUAGCAUGGAAUAAUGAAAUAGGACGUUGAUCCUAUUUUGUUGGUUUCUAGGAUUGACGUAAUGAUUAAUAGGGAUAGUUGGGGGCAUUAGUAUUCAAUUGUCAGAGGUGAAAUUCUUGGAUUUAUUGAAGACUAACUACUGCGAAAGCAUUUGCCAAGGAUGUUUUCAUUAAUCAAGAACGAAAGUUAGGGGAUCGAAGACGAUCAGAUACCGUCGUAGUCUUAACCAUAAACUAUGCCGACUAGGGAUCGGAUGAUGUUAAUUUUUUAAUGACUCAUUCGGCGCCUUACG
rnacentral:rRNA from 1 species